rnacentral:hammerhead_ribozyme from 1 species
GUCCAAUUGACGAGUCACAAAUAGGAUGAAACGCGCGUUCUGGAU